GAUGAAGAACGUAGCGAAACGCGAUAGUUAAUGUGAAUUGCAGAAUUCAGUGAAUCAUCGAGUCUUUGAACGCACAUUGCGCCCCCUGGUAUUCCGGGGGGCAUGCCUGUCCGAGCGUCAUUGCUGCCCAUCAAGCGCGGCUUGUGUGUUGGGCCGCCGUCCGCCUUCCCCCCCGGUGGGAGGGGGACGGGCCCGAAAGGCAGCGGCGGCACCGCGUCCGGUCCUCGAGCGUAUGGGGCUCUGUCACCCGCUCUGGAGGCCCGGCCGGCGCCCGCCGACCCCCAACCUUCUUCUAACCAGGUUGACCUCGGAUCAGGUAGGGAUACCCGCUGAACUUAAGCAUAUCAAUAAGCGAGGA
rnacentral:misc_RNA from 1 species